CCUACGGGGAGCAGCAGUGGGGGAUAUUGGACAAUGGGGGGAACCCUGAUCCAGCGACGCCGCGUGAGUGAAGAAGUAUUUCGGUAUGUAAAGCUCUGUCAGCAGGGAAGAAAGAAAUGACGGUACCUGACCAAGAAGCCCCGGCUAACUACGUGCCAGCAGCCGCGGUAAUACGUAGGGGGCAAGCGUUAUCCGGAAUUACUGGGUGUAAAGGGAGCGUAGACGGUUAAGUAAGUCUGGAGUGAAAGGCCGGGGCCCAACCCCGGGACUGCUCUGGAAACUAUUGAACUUGAGUGCAGGGGAGGUAAGCGGAAUUCCUAGUGUAGCGGUGAAAUGCGUAGAUAUUAGGAGGAACACCAGUGGCGAAGGCGGCUUACUGGACUGUAACUGACGUUGAGGCUCGAAAGCGUGGGGAGCAAACAGGAUUAGAUACCCUAGUAGUC
rnacentral:rRNA from 1 species